AGGGGGGGGUAGGAGAGCCGCUCGGCUGUCGGGGGUCCGUCGCGGUGCCGCGAAAGGGAUUUGGGAGCAGCCGCUCCGACGCCGAUCGUUGGACGUAACCGCGGCCACAUUCAGGUGCACGGCGUAGGCACGGGGAAAGCCUUUCCGUAAUCCUUUCCGUGGGCAACACGGUGAAAAGCCGCAGAUUUGGGGCGGUCGCUCUUUGCCGUGCGUUCCCGGGGCAAAGCUAUUGGGAUGUUUGUUUUGUUUCCCUUCGUUCCUCUUUGAGUGUUUGCAUUUUGGGGGUUUUGUUCGUUUGUUUCCGGGCUGCGGAACGAGACCCGGUGAUGGCAGCCGGGGGGGGGGCGGGGGGGGAAAGAGCCGCCGUGGAUGAGACGUGAAAUGCGCCGUAGGGUUUCGCCUAUCCCCAGCGCGCGGUGUGUGCCCAUUUCAAUAGCGGAUGGGCUGCUUCGUCGGGGAAGGGCUGAGUGCUAAACACACCCAAAGAUGAGUUACCCCACAUAGCGUUACCGGCGAUUAAAUUGUUCACAACUCUUUCGAAGCACGAGGGAGUGACAGAUCGAUAAUCGAUUAAAGAAAAAAAAGAAACAAAACCCCACCGCGGUGAAAGGGUUGUGCCUUACACCCCGAUAAAAUCCCACUGCGGGCCGGCUGGGGCUGCGGGGAGCUCCCGGUGCCGCGGGGUUCGCUGUCUGCGCUCUCCGUCCGGGACGCAUUCGCCGCACCGCGGGCUGAAGCCCGUCUGAGCUGCCCGGCCCCGCCGCAACCGAAUCCGAUGGAAAUCACAUGUGCGAGAGGGGUCGGAGCGUGUUAAGCUCGAGGAUCCCGCAGGAGCUGAACCGCCCUCGCGCUGGGGCUGGGAUCGAUAGGGGGAGGUAGGAAGGAAAUGGCUCCGGGCUGCCCCAGGGCGCUCCGCGAGCCGCCCGCCCGCCGAGCUCCGACGGUGCCUUCCGCGGCCCCGCUCCUCCGCUGCUACAGCCCGGCGGGGCCGGCGGAGCAGGGAGCAGGGGGAGGAGGAGUGAUUCUGCUCUGAGAAAGAAAGAACAAGGUCUUUAAUGAAUAUUCACUUCUCAGGGACAUGAUAUGAUUCAGUCAACGUGGCUAGAUGACAGAACCCAUCUAGAUCCUCAGGGAUAAUUACGACAGAAGGACUAGCUAAGAACCAGUCACAACAGGCAAUUCUACGCUGAAGAAGAACUGCUACCUUCUAAUACCUCUUCCUACCAAACCUUGGAAACCAGGCGCCAGGCGUUCAACACAGAGGUAACCCUCUGCUCCCAUCCGUACUAGCUUCAAAACUGAGGAGUUAUCACAGUGGGCAGAGCAGGUUUGCUUUUCCCAUCCCUGUGAAAAUCUCCUUAGAAGCACAGCAUAUCCCAAGCCUUCUUUCUGAAGGGCACAGAAAAGACAGGUGAAUGAAUAGCCUUUAUUGGAUGUCUUGGACAAUUCCUGUAGAAGGCGUGCAGUGAGUACCUGAGGUUCCUUCAUCAUGAAAUUUAUGUUGCAGCAGAUUAGACAGAAGAUUGGACAUCCUCUGAGGUGUUAAUGAUCUCCUCUAGCAGAUUUCCCAUGGAAGGAACUCCCAAGUGUUUGAGUGUUUUUGUCCAAAUGUGGUCCAUAUCAGUUCUGCCUCCUCAAAGUCUUCUUAGCCCAAACUGAGCUUGUAGUCAACUCAGACCAUACCAACCAGCUGCUUCCCUCCCCCCGACCCCACCCCAGUUUUGCAUAGGUUUUGCAUAGGGAAAAACAGGAUGAAAUCCAUGUAAUAAGAGAAAUGUCUUCUACAAAUAUACAUGAGGAACAAAAGGAACUUCUGUAAGUCUAUUACUUGAUGUUGAUGGUUUAAAGUGCUAGUAAUGAGACGUUAUGAGACAGAUGCAUUCAAUAAGUAUUUCUGUUCUGGUGGAUCAAAGCUGGAAGGAAGUAUGAAUACAUUAUGAAGCUGAUGAAAUGUUUUCUGGUCUUACAGUAAAAUGGGUGAAUGCAAGUCAACUCAGAUCUGUGUCAGCAAGGCUCUAUAAAAUGGCACCGAGUUUUCUUAAGGCAGCAACUCAGGAAGUUGUACUUUCUCUAGGCAGGUAAUGAAUGCUGAGCUUGUACCCAGAGGUCAGAGGUAUGACCCAAUUAAUAGUAAGCUGGUUGGCCUAGCUUACUACUGGUCUUGGGAUCAGCAUGUAGGAAAUGGCUGAUACUGAAGACAAAAGUAAAAUCUGUUCCAAUUAAUUUAACUUUAGUGGAAUUUGAGCUUGUCAAGUCAUCCUAGUACCUCUAGUUGAAAAAACACUUCAAGAUCAGAACUGUGAUGAGUUAGUCAUCUGACUGUAAAUUUUUUUAAUAUACCAUUUUUAGAAGACGCUACUUGAUUUCAACAAAGAUAUCUUAUGGGCAAUUAUCAGUGGGGAAGUCUUUCCAGAAGGGAAUCACUCAUUUCUCCUUUCCACCCAAUACAAUCUGUUUUUAAAUCACAAAUAACACAUGAACAACUGCAAAUGCACUUUUAAGAUAGUACGAAAUGUGAAAAAAUAAAGAUGACAGUGCUUUUGUUUGAAAGUGAUCAGACUCACUUCAUAACCUCGGUUCAACCAAAUGCAACCAAAACAGUUCGUCCUUAGAAACAAGAGAGCAUGAACUGUUUUUACAGGAUUGGGUACUGUAUCACAGAAAGCUUGAAAAGGUCUAUGGGGAUUGUCACAUGUAAUCAACUGUGCAUGAACUCCUACUAUAAUCUCAUUAUUAAAACAGUUACAGUGGUCACUGGAAGUACAGAGAUGGGGGCUGGGAUUGGGGAUGCAGUAUUCUGUCUGUGUAAGGAAGAAAUAGGGCCACUUUUGCAGUGGCUGCUGAAGUGGAUAGAGGAGCCAAGGGAGAAAUAGUUAAAGGAUCAGGACCUUCACAUAGGACACAUUUAUUCCAUGAUUAUUUCAUGAUGGAUUACCCCAGAAAAUAGCUUCCAAAAGUUUUUCCAUGAAACAGCAGAUCAUGCAGCUCCUCUGCUGGACCCUCCCUUAAGUCAUGUUUUCUGGAUUAUGUUCCAGAGGAAAUCAGUAGGGGUUGCAGCUUUCUGAGGUGAGUUUAGUGUUGGAUACCUGCCUAUGUGCUGUGACACGCUGCCUUGGCUAAUAAAUCGUGACCUCUGUGGUUAUAUCGGUCAAAUGCUUUCUCAGCCAGAGCAAUUCCCAGCAAAUCAGUGGGCUCCUUUCACAGUGCCCAUCUGACAAGCACGGGGUAGCGCACAGAUGGUUUAGAUAUAAAAAAGAAUGUUGCAUCAGUACUGUAUGUGUGAAAUGUUUCAAUUAUUCCUAAAAUAUUUUUAACGUGUUCCAGAUUUAUCAGGCAAAAUGUUUAGGAAGUAAUUGGAGUUUAUUCUGUUUUUAAUUUUGGUAUAGUAUAUUAUAAUAAACACAUGUUCAAAAUACAUUUUAGGUAUCACCAAAUAUUUAUAAAAUGUGUAUAGGUGGAAAUCCCAAGGUCACUACAGUAGCUUUAUUUUGCCAGUCUGUUUACAAGGAGAUGAGUCAUUAAAACCUAUGGCUGUUUCUAUCUGUACCGAGAAUCCUUCUCCUGCAGGCAGUGGAUAACCUACUGGUUUUACAUAUUCAUGUAAGAUUAAGCUUUCUCUGAUUGCAGAGGUUGAAUUUAACCCUCCCUCAUAUUAUUUGUAAUAAUAAAAACUUCUAGUGGUAUUUCCAAGUGGACAUAUAUGUCUCAUAUUUAACAUCUGAUCAUAUUACCGUCAUUUUCCACUAUAACUAAAAGAUGAAUUAAAUAAAUGAGUAUCCCAAGCAAUUCUGUUUAGGAAAUCAGAUGAAAGAUGGUGUCAUACUUCUUGAAACACACAGUGGGCUUUUGCAAUUAGAACUAAUUGGUAUGUUGUGUGCAUCACUACCUGCCUUAAGAAAUACUGACGAAGCUUCGGGGUGGGAUGGGUGUUCUAUGGGGCUGGGGGUGAGACUGGGGGGGGGGGGGAUCUGUGGGACUGGGAGGUGGAAUUGUUCUACUAGGGAACAUUGUUCCAUUUGUUUUAAAACGAAGAUUGACUGUUUGCUUUUGAUCUCCUUCUUGUCCUUGGAGAUUUCAGGUGUGGAAAAAGGCACACAUUUUCCUAGCCUGAAGAGUAAAAUAUUGCCCCCCACAAUUCUCAUUACCUUAAGUGAACUCAGUUUAUAUUUUUUGUUGUUGUUUUAUUUUUCUUUAUCCAAAGUUUAUUCAAAGUAUUCAUUAAGAAAAUCUCGAUGUAGAAACACCUUGCAUUAACCAAAGCAAAGUUGGUUUCAGUGCCCAAGACCAAGAUGCCUAAUCUCCUCCUUGCCCCAGCUGUUAGGGACAAGCAUGUUUUCCGUUUCAGCUCACAGAACAGUUGCAGUGUUGGGGGGAUGAGAAAACAGACAUGGGUUGAUCUGAGAGCAAAGAUUUGUGGUGGUAGAGCAAGACUGGCAAAGGAGGAGCCAGUGCCAUAUACAGAAGUAGCUGCAAACCCAAGAUUCCCUCAAAAUGUGAUGACAUACAUGUGUAGACAUGUACUGUUUCAGCAGGUAUUGUGGUGCCCCAAAGAAACAUUUUGAAAGAUGAAAGCAUUGGGGAUUUUUGUUUUCACUGUUUUUCCUCACUUUUUUUAAGUAAAAAUGUUAAAUUCAGCUCUGUUAAAAGAUUAAGCUCAAUCCCAAACAAAAUCUAGACAUCUAGGCUGUACUGACUCCUGCUGCUGUCUUAGGAAAUAUUGACUUUUCUGAAAGAAAAACUAUUUCCUCAAUUCUAAUUUUCAUUAAAAACAUACUGUAGUACAGAUGCUGUUUUGCAAUAUUCUUUUAAUCUCUGUGGAUUUAUUUUAUGUGUUUACUCCAACAGAAAAUUCUUAUUAGCAACGAUUCUUCAACUCUUUCUCUUACCUCAGUGGUGUGGCUGACCCCUCUGUAUGCCUCAUCUGAAGGCUCACCAUCCACUGACAGUAAUCUGAGGAGGUCCGGGGACAGCAAAUGAUGGCUGAACUUGAUGAUCACAGGGGUCUUUUCCAACACCAAUGAUUCUAUAAUUUGAAUGACUUUUGACAUUGUACGGCUGUUACACCUGUGAUCACAAAUACCUUAUGUCCACGAUAACAUUGGAAAUCUUGUUCAUUUUGCACCACUUCCAGAAAACAGCAAGAAGCUGUAUAAAAGUAUUUCAAAAGGAAGGAGCUGGUGAAGCAAGACAGCAAUUUGGUUUAUUUAUCAGUGUUAGUAAUUCCAUUCCAGCCCAUGAAGCCAGCAAGUAUGGUUCAUAUUGAGAAUAUCUAUGUGAAAAGUAAUGGCAAAUUAUGCAAAUAAAUUGGCUACAAUAAGACUUUUUCACUCUUUUUUUUUUUCAGUAGUUUAUCAUGCUGCAGUCUAAUCAAGAUAUGGUAAAGGGUGGUACAGACAUUAUUCAGGAACUUAAUGCCACAUAAACCUAAGCAAUUCAUUUUUCUAACAUUUUUAAUUGUCUGCAGAUAUACAGAUAGAGAC
rnacentral:lncRNA from 1 species